AUACAUAGCCAAGAUUUGUUCAGUUGAUUCUACUACCGGAUGUUGUUACGUAUCAUGUGCCAAGUGUUCCAAGAAGCUCCAACGAGAAAUUUUUCAACUUUCACUAGCACUGCAUUUUUAAGAAAUGCUGUUGGAGUUGUCAGAUGGGAAUAUACACGCUUUUUAAGGUACCAUGUUGAGCUGCUAACCACCCACGACUCGCAAUGGUUGGAACAAGAGGACUAUCAUAGCACACGCUGUCUAUUCAUUGGUUCAUUUUUUGGUGUCGAAACAUUUGAAUUGGGCUCAGAUAUGAUCAAGAUUAGCCAGAUGAUUGUAGAUUAGUGGAAACUAAAAGAGAAGAGAGGAUAUGUAGGAUUGUCACAGAAGAUGAUGCUACCAUCAAAUGGCUCUUUGGCAGUGAUAGAAAGCUCUGCUACCACCACCAUUAAUUCGGGUCAACCCAAGAAACAGAAUCCGAUACUGCAACUGGCUAUAUUCAAUCAGCAAAAGUGAAUCAAUGUCAGUUUUCAUCCAAAUGAUGUAUUUGAUCUAUCACCACUUAUCGCAGUGGUGACUCACUGAGACUAAUGAAAGUUGUUGGAGCACGGUGGAGAAGUGGUGGCACUGUAAUGGUGAGUGAUGGCCAUAACCGCAGAUUGAGUCACCAUGAAGC